AGAUACCACCCUUCUAUACGUAUGCCUCUAACUCAGCAUCAUGUUUAUAAUCAUGAUGUUAGUGGCUAAUUCGAAAAAUUAUAAAUAAGUACAACUUGUCUAAAGUUUUUCUUACUACACGCAUUCGCAUCUAUCGCUUGUCGAUAUGAUGCUGAGGACCGUGCUUGGUGGGGAGUUUAACUGGGGCGGUUGCCUCCUAAAACGUAACGGAGGCGCACAAAGGUAGGCUAGGUCCGGAUGGAAAUCGGACUGGUCGUGUAUUCGCACAAGCCUGCUUGACUGAGAGACCUACAAGUCGAUCAGAGACGAAAGUCGGUGAAAGUGAUCCGGCACCAACAUGUGGGAGUGGUGUCGCUCAACGGAUAAAAGUUA
rnacentral:rRNA from 1 species